rnacentral:tRNA from 1 species
UCCCUGAUGGCUCAUUUGGUAAAGAAUCCGCUUGCAAAGUGGGAGACCUGGGUUCAAACCCUGGGUUGGGAA